rnacentral:rRNA from 1 species
GCAUAUCAAUAAGCGGAGGAAAAGAAACCAACAGGGAUUGCCCUAGUAACGGCGAGUGAAGCGGCAACAGCUCAAAUUUGAAAUCUGGCCUCGGCCCGAGUUGUAAUUUGCAGAGGAUGCUUCUGGCGCGGUGCCUUCCGAGUUCCCUGGAACGGGACGCCACAGAGGGUGAGAGCCCCGUAUGGUCGGACACCAAGCCUGUGUGAAGCUCCUUCGACGAGUCGAGUAGUUUGGGAAUGCUGCUCUAAAUGGGAGGUAAAUCUCUUCUAAAGCUAAAUACCGGCCAGAGACCGAUAGCGCACAAGUAGAGUGAUCGAAAGAUGAAAAGCACCUUGAAAAGGGGGUUAAAUAGUACGUGAAAUUGUUGAAAGGGAAGCACUUAUGACCAGACUUGGGCCGGGCGGCUCAUCAGGGGUUCUCCCCUGUGCACUCCGCCCGGCACAGGCCAGCAUCGGUUCUCGUGGGGGGAUAAGACCGUCAGGAACGUAGCACCCUCCGGGGUGUGUUAUAGCCUGGCGGACGAUACCCCCGUGGGGACCGAGGUCCGCGCAUUGCAAGGAUGCUGGCGUAAUGGUCAUCAGUGACCCGUCUUGAAACACGGACCAAGGAGUCGUCCAUUAGAGCGAGCGUUUGGGUGUAAAACCCGCACGCGUAAUGAAAGUGAACGCAGGUGAGAGCUUCGGCGCAUCAUCGACCGAUCCUGAUGUUCUCGGAAGGAUUUGAGUAAGAGUUUUAACGGACGGACCCGAAAGACAGUGAACUAUGCUUGAAUAGGGUGAAGCCAGAGGAAACUCUGGUGGAGGCUCGCAGCGGUUCUGACGUGCAAAUCGAUCGUCAAAUUUGAGCAUGGGGGCGAAAGACUAAUCGAACUGUCUAGUAGCUGGUUACC